rnacentral:rRNA from 1 species
GACGAACGCUGGCGGCGUGCUUAACACAUGCAAGUCGAACGGUAAGGCCCUUCGGGGUACACGAGUGGCGAACGGGUGAGUAACACGUGGGUGAUCUGCCCUGCACUUCGGGAUAAGCCUGGGAAACUGGGUCUAAUACCGGAUAGGACUCCGGACUGCAUGGUCUGGGGAGGAAAGCUUUUGCGGUGUGGGAUGGGCCCGCGGCCUAUCAGCUUGUUGGUGGGGUGAUGGCCUACCAAGGCGACGACGGGUAGCCGGCCUGAGAGGGUGACCGGCCACACUGGGACUGAGAUACGGCCCAGACUCCUACGGGAGGCAGCAGUGGGGAAUAUUGCACAAUGGGCGCAAGCCUGAUGCAGCGACGCCGCGUGAGGGAUGACGGCCUCCGGGUUGUAAACCUCUUUCAGCACCGACGAAGCGCAAGUGACGGUAGGUGCAGAAGAAGGACCGGCCAACUACGAGCCAGCCGCCGCCGUAA